rnacentral:rRNA from 1 species
GAUGAACGCUAGCGACAGGCCUAACACAUGCAAGUCGAGGGGCAGCACAUGAGUAGCAAUACGAUGGUGGCGACCGGCGCACGGGUGAGUAACACGUAUGCAACCUGCCUUCUACUAUGGGAUAACCCGUUGAAAGACGGACUAAUACCGUAUAAUACAGGGGCUCCGCAUGGAGAUAUUUGUUAAAGAUUUAUUGGUAGAAGAUGGGCAUGCGUAUGAUUAGAUAGUUGGUGAGGUAACGGCUCACCAAGUCAACGAUCAUUAGGGGUUCUGAGAGGAAGGUCCCCCACACUGGUACUGAGACGCGGACCAGAAUCCUACGGGAGGCAGCAGUGAGGAAUAUUGGUCAAUGGACGGGAGUCUGAACCAGCCAAGUCGCGUGAAGGAAGACGGUUCUAUGAAUUGUAAACUUCUUUUGUGCAGGAAUAAAGUGGGUUACGUGUAACCUUUUGUAUGUACUGUACGAAUAAGGAUCGGCUAACUCCGUGCCAGCCGCCGCCGUAACAC